rnacentral:rRNA from 1 species
GACGAACCGUGCGAACGUUAUUCGGAAUCACUGGGCUUAAAGGGCGCGUAGGCGGGUUGCCAAGUCGUGAUGGUGAAAUCCUCCGGCUCGAACCGGAGAACUGCCGUGGAUACUGGCGACCUCGGAGGGGGGUAGGGGCGUUGCGGAACUGUGCGUGGAGCGGUGAAUGCGUUGAUAUGCACAGGAACGUCCGGUGGCGAAGGCCGGCGAGCUGGACCCUUUCUGA